AAAAACACAAACACUGGAUUUCCGUGCCAAUAUUUGACUGUCUGUCUUAUAUGAAAUUUUCUUGUAAUUAGUAUUUUCAUUGUUGUUAGAUGAUAAAACAAGAUUAAUACUUUAUGCGUGAGUUAUCUUUUUAAUUUUUUUCAAAUAAGACGGACGGUCAAACGUUAGACACGGAAACCAGGGUUUGUCUUUUU
rnacentral:pre_miRNA from 1 species